UCCCAGUUCGGAUUGUAGUCUGCAACCCGACUACAUGAAGCUGGAAUCGCUAGUAAUCGCGGAUCAGAAUGCCGCGGUGAAUACGUUCCCGGGUCUUGUACACACCGCCCGUCACACCAUGGGAGUCGAUAACGCCCGAAGUCAGUGACCCAACCGAAAGGAGGGAGCUGCCGAAGGCGGGAUGGAUAACUGGGGUGAAGUCGUAACAAGGUAGC
rnacentral:rRNA from 1 species